GACGAACGCUGGCGGCGUGCUUAACACAUGCAAGUCGAACGGUAAGGCCCUUCGGGGUACACGAGUGGCGAACGGGCGAGUAACACGUGGGUGAUCUGCCCUGCACUUCGGGAUAAGCCUGGGAAACUGGGUCUAAUACCGGAUAGGACCCUGGGAUGCAUGUCCUGGGGUGGAAAGCUUUUGCGGUGUGGGAUGGGCCCGCGGCCUAUCAGCUUGUUGGUGGGGUGAUGGCCUACCAAGGCGACGACGGGUAGCCGGCCUGGGAGGGUGACCGGCCACACUGGGACUGAGAUACGGCCCAGACUCCUACGGGAGGCAGCAGUGGGGAAUAUUGCACAAUGGGCGCAAGCCUGAUGCAGCGACGCCGCGUGAGGGAUGACGGCCUUCGGGUUGUAAACCUCUUUCAGCACCGACGAAGCGCAAGUGACGGUAGGUGCAGAAGAAGGACCGGCCAACUACGUGCCAGCCGCCGCGGUAA
rnacentral:rRNA from 1 species